rnacentral:rRNA from 1 species
CCUACGGGAGGCAGCAGUGGGGAAUAUUGCACAAUGGGGGAAACCCUGAUGCAGCGACGCCGCGUGAGUGAAGAAGUAUUUCGGUACGUAAAGCUCUAUCAGCAGGGAAGAAAAGGACGGUACCUGACUAAGAAGCCGCGGCGAACUACGGGCCAGCAGCCGCGGUAAGACGUAGGGGGCAAGCGUUAUCCGGAUUUACUGGGUGUAAAGGGAGCGUAGACGGCAGCGCAAGUCUGGAGGGAACUCCCAUGGCUUAACCAUGGAACUGCUUGGGAAACUUUGCAGCUGGAGUGCAGGAGAGGUCAGCGGCAUUCCUCUUGUCGCGGUGCACUGCUUCGAUCUUAGGCGGUACACCAGUGGCGAAGGCGGCUUACUGGACUGUACCUGCCGUUGCGGCUCG